AUUGAACGCUGGCGGCAUGCCUUACACAUGCAAGUCGAACGGCAGCAUGAUCCAGCUUGCUAGAUUGAUGGCGAGUGGCGAACGGGUGAGUAAUACAUCGGAACGUGCCCUGUAGUGGGGGAUAACUAGUCGAAAGAUUAGCUAAUACCGCAUACGACCUGAGGGUGAAAGUGGGGGACCGCAAGGCCUCAUGCUAUAGGAGCGGCCGAUGUCUGAUUAGCUAGUUGGUGAGGUAAAGGCUCACCAAGGCGACGGUCAGUAGCUGGUCUGAGGGGACGAGCAGCCACACUGGGACUGAGACACGGCCCAGACUCCUACGGGAGGCAGCAGUGGGGAAUUUUGGACAAUGGGGGCAACCCUGAUCCAGCAAUGCCGCGUGUGUGAAGAAGGCCUUCGGGUUGUAAAGCACUUUUGUCCGGAAAGAAAUCGCACUUACUAAUAUUAGGUGUGGAUGACGGUACCGGAAGAAUAAGGACCGGCUAACUACGUGCCAGCCGCCGCGGUAACAC
rnacentral:rRNA from 1 species